UCCUCUGUAGCUCAAUGGUAGAGCAGCGCACUGUUCAUGCGUCGGUUGUUGGUUCGAGUCCAGCUGGGGGAGC
rnacentral:tRNA from 1 species